GAAGGGACCUAGCGUAGUUCGGAAUUACUGGGCUUAAAGAGUUCGUAGGUGGUUAAAAAAGUUGGUGGUGAAAUCCCAGAGCUUAACUCUGGAACUGCCAUCAAAACUUUUUAGCUAGAGUAUGAUAGAGGAAAGUAGAAUUUCUAGUGUAGAGGUGAAAUUCGUAGAUAUUAGAAAGAAUACCAAUUGCGAAGGCAGCUUUCUGGAUCAUUACUGACACUGAGGAACGAAAGCAUGGGUAGCGAAGAGGAUUAGAUACCCUCGUAGUCCAUGCCGUAAACUAUGUGUGCUAGACGUUGGAAAUUUAUUUUCAGUGUCGCAGCAAAAGCGUUAAGCACACCGCCUGGGGAGUACGACCGCAAGGUUAAAACUCAAAUGAAUUGACGGGGACCCGCACAAGCAGUGGAGCAUGUGGUUUAAUUCGAAGAUACGCGCAGAACCUUACCAACACUUGACAUGUUCGUCGCGACUUUAAGAGAUUAAAGUCUUCGGUUCGGCCGGACGAAACACAGGUGCUGCAUGGCUGUCGUCAGCUCGUGUCGUGAGAUGUUGGGUUAAGUCCCGCAACGAGCGCAACCCUUACUUUUAGUUGCCACCAUUUAGUUGAGCACUCUGAAAGAACUGCCAGUGAUAAGCUGGAGGAAGGUGGGGAUGACGUCAAGUCCUCAUGGCCCUUACGUGUUGGGCUACACACGUGCUACAAUGGCACUCACAAUAGGGAAGCAAAGAGGCGACUCUAAGCAAAUCCUAAAAAAGUGCCUCAGUUCGGAUUGUACUCUGCAACUCGAGUACAUGAAGCUGGAAUUGCUAGUAAUCGCGGAUCAGCGCGCCGCGGUGAAUACGUUCCCGGGUCUU
rnacentral:rRNA from 1 species